AGAUGGGAUAAAUAUUUUAAUUUAUUAAUAGCAUAACAACUAAAAUCAUGAGCUCCUUAAAAACUCAGCGGUAGAGGGUAAUAGAUACCCCCAAAGUCAAGAUGAACUUGAGGCUUUUUAGCUUGGUAAUAAUUAAAAUGCAGAUAUGAUAAAUAGAUUUUCUCUAACCUGAUAAUAAUGUCCAUGGAGACAUGGUAGGAUGAGAGUAAGGAAACAGAAAAAAACAUCUUUUCUCCAUAUUUCCUUCUGUUCAAUAGAGAGGUGGCAGUCUCUAGGGACAGAACAUUGUAUUCAUUGUCAUAUGUGGCUGCUGGUUUGUUUUAGUUAGCCAUCUUUCUUUUCUUUUCUAACCCUUACUUUCUGUCUUAGAAUUGAUACUGAGUAUAGAUUCUAAGGCAGAGGGGCAGUAAGGACUAUUAAAGUUAAGUGACUCACCCAGGGUUACAUAGCUAGGAAGUGUCUGAAGUCAAAUUUGAACUCCAUAUCUCCCAUCUUCAGGUUGGGCUUCCUAUCAACUGAAUCAGCUAGCUAUCCCCAUAGCCAUCUUUCUUACAAGGAAGGGCUCUAUAGGGGUGGUGGUGAGGAAAUUGCAAAGUGAGAGAAAUAGAAUAUAACUUCUGUAAGAGAAGGUUUGAAAUCUGAGAGAGAAAUGAACUUGGAAGAACUGCAGAAUUCUACAGCAGUGGGAUGUGGGUGAAAAAGGAACACAGAACUUUGGAGAGAGAGAGAGGAGAGAAUAGUUCUGAUCCAGCAGUUGGAAACUGACUUCUGUCUGGAAAGACACACCAGAGAGUCGGCGUUGAAUGCCCAGAGACUGGCCCAGGUUACUUUCAAGGAAGCUUUCACAGAUAUGGUUUUCUUGGGAGAAGCUGCCACAAGAUGGCAGUGCCUCAGAUCACAGAGGUUCCUCCACUUUUAGAAACAAAGAGGCGGAAGUCAUGAACAGCAAAGCUGCUGGGGAGAAUCUUGGAAUCCACAGCAUUUCAGAACUUAAAGGAUCCUUUGAAAGGAAGGCCAACCAACCAACUGAUGAACAGAGUAUUGCCGGAAGAAGGGUCAGUGAUUGGAACUGCGGAAAAAGCAGAUUCCUUGCAGAAUGUAACUUUUGGGGACACCUGAAGGGAAGUAGAGAAAGCAGCUGGGUGAAACAAUGAAUAUCUCCCUUUGGGAUCCUUCCAAAGUCUUGGCAUCAGAGAUAAGUUGUCUUGUAAAUUUAAAUGUAUCAAGUACAAGUGAAUCUGCUUAGGGAAAAGAACAAUCCAAAUGAGAGGUAUGAUGAAUUGGAAAGAACAUUGCUCUGAGGCUCUGGAUUCCAGUGUUGGUCCUGACCAUAGUUCAAAGUUGCAAAAUGAAUAAAAUGGGGCCCGGAAGUGGUGGGGACGACCA
rnacentral:lncRNA from 1 species